rnacentral:rRNA from 1 species
UAGGGAAUCUUCCACAAUGGACGAAAGUCUGAUGGAGCAACGCCGCGUUGAGCGAAGAAGGUUUUCGGAUCGUAAAGCUCUGUUGUGAGGGGAGAACAAGUACGAGAGUAACUGCUCGUACCUUGACGGUACCUCAUUAGAAAGCCACGGCUAACUACGUGCCAGCAGCCGCGGUAAUACGUAGGUGGCAAGCGUUGUCCGGAAUUAUUGGGCGUAAAGCGCGCGCAGGCGGUCCUUUAAGUCUGAUGUGAAAGCCCACGGCUCAACCGUGGAAGGUCAUUGGAAACUGGAGGACUUGAGUACGGAAGAGGAAAGCGGAAUUCCACGUGUAGCGGUGAAAUGCGUAGAGAUGUGGAGGAACACCAGUGGCGAAGGCGGCUUUCUGGUCUGUAACUGACGCUGAGGCGCGAAAGCGUGGGGAGCAAACAGGAUUAGAUACCCUGGUAGUCCACGCCGUAAACGAUGAGUGCUAAGUGUUAGGGGGUUUCCGCCCCUUAGUGCUGCAG